rnacentral:rRNA from 1 species
UUGUCUCUCUUGAGUGGAUCCUGAGUACGACGGAGCACGUGAAAUUCCGUCGGAAUCUGGGAGGACCAUCUCCUAAGGCUAAAUACUCUCUAGUGACCGAUAGUGAACCAGUACCGUGAGGGAAAGGUGAAAAGCACCCCGGAAGGGGAGUGAAAUAGAACCUGAAACCGUGUGCUUACAAGUAGUCAGAGCCCGUUAAUGGGUGAUGGCGUGCCUUUUGUAGAAUGAACCGGCGAGUUACGAUUUGAUGCAAGGUUAAGCAGUAAAUGUGGAGCCGUAGCGAAAGCGAGUCUGAAUAGGGCGUUUAGUAUUUGGUCGUAGACCCGAAACCAGGUGAUCUACCCUUGGUCAGGUUGAAGUUCAGGUAACACUGAAUGGAGGACCGAACCGACUUACGUUGAAAAGUGAGCGGAUGAACUGAGGGUAGCGGAGAAAUUCCAAUCGAACCUGGAGAUAGCUGGUUCUCUCCGAAAUAGCUUUAGGGCUAGCCUCAAGUGAUGAUUAUUGGAGGUAGAGCACUGUUUGGACGAGGGGCCCCUCUCGGGUUACCGAAUUCAGACAAACUCCGAAUGCCAAUUAAUUUAACUUGGGAGUCAGAACAUGGGUGAUAAGGUCCGUGUUCGAAAGGGAAACAGCC